GUUACAAUGGCAGGUACAGAGGGGUGCUACCGGGUGACCGGAUGCCGAUCUCGAAAACCUGUCCCAGUUCGGACUGGAGUCUGCAACCCGACUUCACGAAGUUGGAUUCGCUAGUAAUCGCGCAUCAGCCAUGGCGCGGUGAAUACGUUCCCGGGCCUUGUACACACCGCCCGUCAAGCCAUGGGAGCCGGGGGCGCCUGAAGUCCGGGACCGCGAGGACCGGCCUAGGGCGAAACUGGUGACUGGGGCUAAGUCGUAACAAGGUAUC
rnacentral:rRNA from 1 species